UACGAGUGCCCCAAGCGUUAUCCGGAAUUAUUGGGCGUAAAGGGUCCGUAGGCGGUCUUAUUAGUCUCUUGUUAAAGCUCCCGGCUCAACUGGGAAAAAGUGAGAGAAACGGUAAGACUAGAGAGUGUGGGGGGUGUACGGAACUCACAGUGUAGGGGUGAAAUCCGUUGAUAUUGUGGGGAACACCAAAAGCGAAGGCAGUACACUAACACAUUUCUGACGCUGAGGGACGAAAGCGUGGGUCGCGAAGGGG
rnacentral:misc_RNA from 1 species